rnacentral:rRNA from 1 species
GAUGAACGCUGGCGGCGUGCCUAAUACAUGCAAGUCGAGCGAACUGAUUACAAGCUUGCUUCUAUGACGUUAGCGGAGGACGGGUGAGUAACACGUGGGCAACCUGCCUGUAAGACUGGGAUAACUUCGGGAAACCGAAGAAAAUACCGGAUAGGAUCUUCUCCUUCAUGGGAGAUGAUUGAAAGAUGGUUUCGGCCACCACUUACAGAUGGGCCUGCGGUGCAUUAGCUAGUUGGUGAGGUAACGGCUCACCAAGGCAACGAUGCAUAGCAGACCUGAGAGGGUGAUCGGCCACACUGGGACUGAGACACGGCCCAGACUCCUACGGGAGGCAGCAGUAGGGGAUCUUCCGCAAUGGGCGAAAGUCUGACGGAGCAACGCCGCGUGAGUGAUGAAGGCUUGCGGGUCGUAAAGCUCUGUUGUUAGGGAAGAACGAGUACAAGAGUAACUGCUUGUACCUUGACGGUACCUAACCAGAAAGCCACGGCUAACUACGUGCCAGCCGCCGCAGUAAGAC